AAUAUCUGGUGUCUCUUCAGAUCAUAUAAUCUUUCACCUUUUACUAAAGAUUUCCUUGGAGGAACAACUCUGAGUCUUAAACAAAUUUUUCC
rnacentral:snRNA from 1 species